rnacentral:sRNA from 1 species
UCGAACAAAAAUCUGGAUAUAUCAAUUAAUGCAUCAAACAACUUUAAUCUCAACAUUACGUGGUCUGUCGGUUCAACAGCUGGAACAAUAUCUGGGGAAGAGACUCCUAUAGUUUCCAAGAAUAAUAUAAAGGAAUACAGAGAUAGUUUUUCCUAUGAAAAAUUUAACUUUAGAAGCAAUCCUAACAUUACAUUCUAUGUGUACGUCAGCAACUUUUCCUGGCCUAUUAAAAUACAGAUUGCAUUCUCACAACACAAUACAAUCAUGGACCUUGUGCAGUUUUUUGUCACCUUCUUCAGUUGUUUCCUAUCCUUAUUGCUGGUGGCUGCUGUGGUAUGGAAGAUCAAACAGACUUGUUGGGCUUCUCGACGGAGAGAGACAGAGUCACACUCUGUCACCCAGGCUGGCGUGCAGUGUGGGGAUCUCAGCUCACUGCAACCUCCGCAUCCUGGGUCAAGCAAUUCUCCAUUACAGGCGCCCACUACCACGCUCAGCUAAUUUUUGUAUUUUUUACUAGAGAUGGGGUUUCACCAUGUUGGCCAGACUGGACCUCAGGCGAUCUGCCCACCUCGGCCUCCUAAAGUGCUGGAUUACAGGCGUGAGCCACCGCGCCGGGCCUCUAUGUGAACUCUUUAAAUUUAGACAUUUUCAACAACAUUGCUGUUCAUUUCUGUAGUAGAUUAAGGUGUGUUCAUAUAACUGAACUUGUAAACUCGUGAUAUAUAGAUUAUUUUUGGCCUAAACAGUGUUUUAAAAAUUUAAAAAG